UCUCCUGGAAACGGGUGGUAAUGCCGGAUGCUCCGCCCCCUCGCAUGGGGGGUCGGGAAGGCUUUUGCGGAAUGGGAUGGGGUCGCGUCCUAUCAGCUUGUUGGCGGGGCGACGGCCCACCAAGGCUUCGACGGGUAGCCGGCCUGAUAGGGCGACCGGCCACAUUGGGACUGAUAUACGGCCCAGACUCCUACGGGAGGCAGCAGUGGGGAAUAUUGCACAAUGGGGGGAACCCUGAUGCAGCGACGCCGCGUGCGGGAUGGAGGCCUUCGGGUCGUGAACCGCUUUUGAUUGGGAGCAAGCGUGAGUGAGUGUACCUUUCGAAUAAGCACCGGCUAACUACGUGCCAUCAGCCGCGGUAAUACGUAGGGUGCAAGCGUUGUCCGGAAUCAUUGGGCGUAAAGGGCUCGUAUGCGGUUCGUCGCGUCCGGUGUGAAAGCCCAUCGCUUAACGGUGGGUCUGCGCCGGAUACGGGCGGGCUUGAGUGCGGCAGGGGAGGCUGGAAUUCCCGGUGUAACGGUGGAAUGUGUAGAUAUCGGGAAGAACACCA
rnacentral:rRNA from 1 species